UGAUGUAGAAUCUAAAUAAUUAUCAUUCCUCCUAGACUGGUGUGUGGCCCACCACAACUGCAGCUGGUCUAGUGGAUGACCCAACUGUCGUGUCUACAAUAAGUAAAUAAUAAAAUUAAAUUAAUUAAAGCAUGCAUAUAAGAGUUUUUAUAGUUCUAAUAAAGAGUUUUGGUAUAGAUUUCUUACCAGUCAGUAGACCACAAUUUGUGUGCCGAUGGAGCCGCCUGUGUGCUUGAUCGAAUCCUACUGGGCAGUCCAGUUCUGUCGGACGC
rnacentral:lncRNA from 1 species